AAAAUAAUUAGUAUCAUCUUAUUCCAAAAAUUCCAAUUCAUAUUAAAUCAACUCUGAGUAUAAAAAUGCUAAUAUAAACUCACUCUUCAUUUCCUUGAUGAAGGAUAAAUACUUUCAUUCUUAAGAAAGGAAGGGAGGAGGAAAAAUGGAAAGCUCUUUCUUUACCGAGCUUCCUCGAGAAGGGACCCAGGAAGAGAUUAGCUUCAAGCUGAAGAUUCUAAAAGUAACUCCUUUAAAAGUUUGGGACCACCACAUCUUCACCGUACAGGUCUUUUGUUUCGACACUCUGUCAACCGCUAAGACAGAUCCUUUUUAGUCAUCGCAGAGGUGAUAGCAGGAACUCCACCCCCUUCCAGUUACCUGUAGUCAGUGGCAGUCCAGAAGCAGAUGAUCUUCCUUCUGAUGUAUGGUCAGAGGUCAGUAGGAGCCCAACGCUACGCCACAAGUGCCUCUCCUCACUCCAUCGCAUCGUGUAGACAUGCCAUCUCACGUCCUCACGAGGAGAGUAAGUACAGCUCAAGGCCAGCAGGCAAAGGGAAGAGUCACUCUACCAGCAGGAGUAAUUCUCAUGGACUAUCCCACAAGAUUCUAAGGUUGCUGCUGCAGAAUGGGGACAGACAGGAAAUUGUAUGGUACCCCAGGAACUCACUGGGACUCCUCUUGGUGUCUCCAUGCCCAGGGAAAACAAUAAAUGGAAAUUGCAUGCACUAUUACCUCACAAGGGCAUGGUAACCAAAGGUUUGCAAUUUUCAGAGAUGAAGCUCUGGGUUACCACUGGAAAAGCAACCUAGACCACCAGAAGCACUGACAAGUGAGAGGACUCUAGUAUGAGUGGUGGAAGAGGGAAAUAAUGCAGCAAGGACUGUAAUUUGUCUCACUCAUCCUCCGAAUUUUUAUUUUUUACACUGUGACUGGCCACCACCUUGAAGAAGCACUGACUGGGCGGAGAGAACUAAUGUGGGACACAAGCAGGUCUGGAUGGUGUAAGGUGCACGCUCGAGCAGAUACUCUUGGUGACUUGCCCGUUUCCCUUACAUCCCCACUUCAUGGUGCCCCAGCCAACUGGAUGCCCCUCUCUGUAGAACUUCCCCAAAGUUGUGGGAAAAUGUUCUCCCGGGUUCUGCCUGGGCACAGCACACUGGAAGUGCCAGAGACUGCUUCUUCUGGGAGCAGCCCCAACCGAUCACUGAUCAGAGUUGGUAUCAAAACACCCCAUCACCACUCAGGAGGGACCAUCUGGAGGUAUGUGUUUAACACCAUUUUGGAGCAUUUUCCCAGCAAUUGAGCUCCAGUUACCCUCAGUGCUGACUUGUUUGACCAGGUGGCUAAUUGGCUGUUUUCCUUUCUCCUCACUCCCCUACAAGGGUUUCCUGCACCUCCAAAAUAAACUGCUUCACCUGAAUCCUCAUCCAAGGAUCUGCUUCUGGGGACCUCAAAUUAAGACAGUAUCUCUAAACCAGGCAUGUAAAUAAGUGUUAAAUGUGUGUUGUAAGGAUUGCCCACUUUCCUGCUUCCAGCAUUGGGAAAAUAUAGAAAAGGAAGAGAUAAAGAGGAGUGGACGAGGUUUUGUAUGCAAUCUGUGUGUGAUGCUGUGUGACCAGGAACAUGUGAAUAUGUGACCUCAUGUGGCAAAAGGAACUUUGCAGAUGCGAUUAAAUUAAAGAUCUUAAGAUAAGGAGAUUAUUCUGGAUUAUGUGUGGGCCCAGUGCCAUCACAAGGCUCCUUAUAAAAAGGAAGCAGAGUCGGAGGAGAGGAGACCACAGGAGCAGAAGUUGGAGUGAUGCAGCCACGAGCAAAGGAAUACAGGAGACCUGGAAGCUGGAAGAGGCAGCAAAUGAAUUCACCCCUAGAGCCUCCGGAAGGAAUGAAGUUUUGCUGACAACUUGAUUUUGGCUCCCUGUAGGAGCCAUUUCAGAAUUCUGACUUCCUGAACUGUAAAAUAGUGAACUUGACCCCGCCUCUCUUGGUAUCUGACCUUGCUCCCUUUGGCUGGCUUCUCCAGGUAAAGAUGUUGGCUUUUCCAUCCUGGGAUGCUCAGAUGGAGGUGACAGUGAUGGUUACUAUGGACACCAAACCAGCCACUCACAUGCCCUGGGUUUGCCAAAAGGGCUCUGGGGCCCUUCUUGAGAUGGGAGACCUCAUCCUCUUAUCUCCAGGCCUCCAGGGAGAGGAAGGGAGAGGAGGUGCGUGGAGCACUGAUUACACACUGGAAUCAAUACCUUGUAUACAGUAGGUACAGCAGGCUAUCAAUUCAUGGUGAGAAAAACUCCACUUGACUCUGGUCCUUGCCAGUUCCUCCUCUCUUUUCCCUUCCCUACCUCAUUUUUCCCAUCGUCUCUUUCUCUUCCUCCUCUCCUGACAGGCAGUGGAGUCCAACUCCACUGGAGUCAAUUCUAACUGCCUUUUGCUAGCUGUGUGACAAUGAACCAGCAACCUACCCUCUCUGAUCCUUAAUUCCCUUACCUGUUAAGUAGGGGUGGAGAUACCUACCUUGGUUCUCUGAUGAGAACUAGAUGAGAGAAUAUCUGAAAUGUAUCCGUGCAGAGCAGGCACUCGAUUAACAUCAUUUCUACCCACUAGCCUUUUCACCACUAAGACCUAGUCAAUCAGCAGAAUUCACAGGGAAUGCAAGGUAGGAAACCACAACUUUAAUGGGAAGUUCAAGUUUCCCUUUCGUUCCAAGACAUUUCCCACGUAUUUGCCCA